rnacentral:rRNA from 1 species
UACAGAGGGGGCGAGCGUUAUUCGGAAUUAUUGGGCGUAAAGGGCGCGUAGGCGGCCGUGUAAGUCUUGGGUGAAAUCCCUCAGCUCAACUGAGGAACUGCCUCGGAUACUGCAUGGCUUGAGGCCGGGAGAGGGUAGUGGAAUUCCCAGUGUAGCGGUGAAAUGCGUAGAUAUCUGGAGGAACACCGGUGGCGAAGGCGGCAUCCUGGACCGAAAUUGACGCUGAGGCGCGAAAGCCAGGGGAGCAAACGGG